CCCAGUGUGGUGUAGUGGUUUGAGCAUUGGACUAUGACUCUAGAGACCAGGGUUUGAAUCCCUGCUCAGACA
rnacentral:tRNA from 1 species